rnacentral:rRNA from 1 species
UACUACAAGCCCAAGCUUAAAACUCAAAGGACUUGACGGCGUCCCACCCACCUAGAGGAGCCUGUUCUAUAAUCGAUAAUCCCCGAUAAACCCAACCACUUCUUGCUAAUCAGUCUGUAUACCUCCGUCGCAAGCUUACCAUAUGAAUGACAAUUAGUGAGCAAAAUGAUUACUACACCAACACGUCAGGUCAAGGUGCAACCUAUGAACUGGAAAGAAAUGGGCUACAAUUUCUAAUUAUAGAACAAACGAAAAAAUUAUAUGAAAAAUAAUUAUGAAGGCGGAUUUAGUAGUAAGGGGCAAAUAAAGUGUUCCCCUUAAUUCGGCACUGGGACUGU